GGCGGGGUAGCCAAGUGGUAAGGCAGGGGACUGCAAAUCCCCUAUCACGGGUUCGAUUCCCGUCCCCGCCU
rnacentral:tRNA from 1 species